CACUGUUUUUUCUUUGAUAAUACCAUCUCCAGGUACCAGGUUGAUAAUGACCUUUCACCCCUGACAAAAACUCCUGGUCUGGACUCUGAGCUGGACAAACUGCAGGACCUGCUGGAAAGCUUCACUCUGGUGUACAAUGCCAAGAAAGCUGUCACAGAGAACUCUAUCAGUCCCAACAAUAUAGGGGCAUUUACUGCCAUCAGCUACGCCUACGAUAACUCGACAGAUGCCACCAAAAAAGUUGAGGCCGGGAAAAAUACCAUAAAGGAAUCAACUGAUGUCCGAGAAAAGACUGAGGACAUUCAGAGCAAAGUACAGCCGGCCAACACCAGAGAUCUGGACAAACUGAACAACAGCAUGGCCUCCCAACCCAACCUCACUCCUGUUGCCAGACAAGUGUGUGGCAGUGUUCACUCUGAGCCCUGCACACCUCUCCAGUGUGAAAUUGGAGAUUUGUGCACACCAGUGGGAGACGCACCCUGUGAAAAGGGGGGAAAGUGUGUGGGCGCUCUGCCUCUGAGCAAGAGGGCAGACGCUGAUGCCAAGGAUGUGAAGGAAGGACUCGACAAACUCUCUGGGAGGAUCACCGAUGCUGCAGAGAAGCUGCAGAAAACACAGGAGAUGACCAAUCAGGUGAGGCAGUCUACAGAGAAGCUGUCCAGUAAGCUGCAGCAGGCCAG
rnacentral:lncRNA from 1 species